GCCCCUGUAGCUCAGCUGGAUAGAGCAACGGACUUCUAAGCCGUGGGUCGAGGGUUCAAAUCCCUCCAGGGGCU
rnacentral:tRNA from 1 species